CUUAGCGGCGGACGGGUGGGUAACGCGUAUGCAACCUACCUUUAACAGGGGAGUAACACUGAGAAAUUGGUACUAAUACCCCAUAAUAUCAUAGAAGGCAUCUUUUAUGGUUGAAAAUUCCGAUGGUUAGAGAUGGGCAUGCGUUGUAUUAGCUAGUUGGUGGGGUAACGGCUCACCAAGGCGACGAUACAUAGGGGGACUGAGAGGUUAACCCCCCACACUGGUACUGAGACACGGACCAG
rnacentral:rRNA from 1 species